GUAGGGGGCGAGCGUUGUCCGGAUUUAUUGGGCGUAAAGAGCUCGUAGGCGGUUGCGUAAGUCGGAUGUGAAAACUCAGGGCUCAACCCUGAGAUGCCAUUCGAUACUGCGCUGACUCGAGUCCGGUAGGGGAGCAUGGAAUUCCUGGUGUAGCGGUGAAAUGCGCAGAUAUCAGGAGGAACACCAGUGGCGAAGGCGGUGCUCUGGGCCGGUACUGACGCUGAGGAGCGAAAGCAUGGGUAGCAAACAGGAUUAGAUACCCUGGUAGUCCCAUGCCCGUAAACGUUGGGCACUAGGUGUGGGGCCUACUUAACGGGUUCCGUGCCGUAGCUAACGCAUUAAGUGCCCCCCGCCUGGGAGUACGGCCGCAAGGCUA
rnacentral:rRNA from 1 species